rnacentral:rRNA from 1 species
GACGAACGCUGGCGGCGUGCUUAACACAUGCAAGUCGAACGGAAAGGCCCUGCUUUUGUGGGGUGCUCGAGUGGCGAACGGGUGAGUAACACGUGAGUAACCUGCCCUUGACUUCGGGAUAACUUCAGGAAACUGGGGCUAAUACCGGAUAGGAGCUCCUGCUGCAUGGUGGGGGUUGGAAAGUUUCGGCGGUUGGGGAUGGACUUGCGGCUUAUCAGCUUGUUGGUGGGGUAGUGGCUUACCAAGGCUUUGACGGGUAGCCGGCCUGAGAGGGUGACCGGCCACAUUGGGACUGAGAUACGGCCCAGACUCCUACGGGAGGCAGCAGUGGGGAAUAUUGCACAAUGGGCGGAAGCCUGAUGCAGCAACGCCGCGUGCGGGAUGACGGCCUUCGGGUUGUAAACCGCUUUCGCCUGUGACGAAGCGUGAGUGACGGUAAUGGGUAAAGAAGCACCGGCUAACUACGUGCCAGCAGCCGCGGUGAUACGUAGGGUGCGAGCGUUGUCCGGAUUUAUUGGGCGUAAAGGGCUCGUAGGUGGUUGAUCGCGUCGGAAGUGUAAUCUUGGGGCUUAACCCUGAGCGUGCUUUCGAUACGGGUUGACUUGAGGAAGGUAGGGGAGAAUGGAAUUCCUGGUGGAGCGGUGGAAUGCGCAGAUAUCAGGAGGAACACCAGUGGCGAAGGCGGUUCUCUGGGCCUUUCCUGACGCUGAGGAGCGAAAGCGUGGGGAGCGAACAGGCUUAGAUACCCUGGUAGUCCACGCUGUAAACGGUGGGUACUAGGUGUGGGGUCCAUUCCACGGGUUCCGUGCCGUAGCUAACGCUUUAAGUACCCCGCCUGGGGAGUACGGCCGCAAGGCUAAAACUCAAAGGAAUUGACGGGGCCCCGCACAAGCGGCGGAGCAUGCGGAUUAAUUCGAUGCAACGCGUAGAACCUUACCUGGGUUUGACAUGGAUCGGGAGUGCUCAGAGAUGGGUGUGCCUCUUUCGGGGUCGGUUCACAGGUGGUGCAUGGCUGUCGUCAGCUCGUGUCGUGAGAUGUUGGGUUAAGUCCCGCAACGAGCGCAACCCUUGUUCACUGUUGCCAGCACGUUAUGGUGGGGACUCAGUGGAGACCGCCGGGGCCAACUCGGAGGAAGGUGGGGAUGACGUCAAGUCAUCAUGCCCCUUAUGUCCAGGGCUUCACGCAUGCUACAAUGGCUGGUACAGAGAGUGGCGAGCCUGUGAGGGUGAGCGAAUCUCGGAAAGCCGGUCUCAGUUCGGAUUGGGGUCUGCAACUCGACCUCAUGAAGUCGGAGUCGCUAGUAAUCGCAGAUCAGCAACGCUGCGGUGAAUACGUUCCCGGG